AGCAGACAUUUUCAAAGGCUUCUCUCCCCUUCUUCUCCUCUCUCUGUCCCCCAUGCGGAAAGGGGAAAAUAGAAGUAGAAUCCAGAUUGGGGCGCGUGGCUGAUUUGGUCCUCCUCCCGCACCAUCCUCCCCCAGACAGCAGAGAAACUUUGAUGUCUGGGUGCAUGGCAUUCAGGGACAGAGGAGCCUGGGCAUCCCAGCAAAUGCAGCCGCAUGUUCCGCCUCUGGACGGCCUCUCUGAACUCCUUUGUGAGGGGAGAUGAAGCCCACAGAGCUGGAAAGAGCAGCGUUUUGAAAUGAGGAAGUGUGGAUCGGCAUUCCUUGAGCUCAGUGCUAGCCACCUUGGCGAUGGGGUGAGCCAACCAGGAGCUCAGAUUUAUAAAACUUUUGAGCUUUGUGGGCCCUAGGGGGCCACUGUGGCCUACCUGCUGAUUUUCAGAUGGGGAAAUGGGGGCUCAGAGAGGGGACAAGAUUUGCUUAAUGGCACCUAGCAAAUUGGUAACAGGUCCAGGAGUAGAUUCCAUGCCUUCAGCCUCUGGUGAGACGUCUUUCCUCUGCACCAGGAAGUGGAACUUCAAACAGCACCAGGGGUUGGAACUUUUGUUUCAAAUCCUCUCUGCCUCAUCCCCACCCACUGCCCAGCAACUCAAGGCUGGGUCUUUCGCCCCCUCAGGCUCAGAAGGGCUGUGGCCCAGCCACAGAGCCAGGGGGCCUCCUCAGUAGUAUUGGCCUUCACACUCUUGGUGCUAAAGUUCUCCAGUUACUUUUUUAUUAAACCAACAUGUACAGAAAAACUCAGUUUUCGGCUGGGCACAGUGGCUCACACCUGUAAUCCCAGCACUUUGGGAGGCCGAGGCAGGCAGAUCACUUGAGGUCAGGAGUUCGAGACCAGCCUGGCCAACAUGGUGAAACCCUGUCUCUACAAAAAUACAAAAAUUAGCUGGGCGUGGAGGCGCGUGCCUGUAGUCCCUGCUAGUCAAGAGGGUGAGGCAGGAGAAUCGCUUGAACCUGGGAAGCCGAAGUAGCAGUGAGCCGAGAUCGCGCCACUGCACUCCAGCCUGGGUGAUAGAGCUGGAGGGAAACCCUGAUACCACUUCUGGGUCCAGAUGGCUGUGGCUGGAAUGCGGCCACAGCCAGGAACAGCGUGGUACGGAUACCAGUGGGGCUCUGGUCUUUUCCCAGAGGCUGGCACCUUUCAUGCCGAGUUGGGCCUCGGGUCUCGGGGCUCUAGGCCCUGCUGUGCCAGUGGCCUGAUGUGUGGCCUUAUAUGCCAGUCACACCCUGCUCCAGACCUCGGUUUCCUCAUCCACAAAAUGGGAAAGCUGGGCUAGAAAAUCUCUCAGGAAGGUAGGUCUCUGCUAGCUCCCAGCCUUCCAUGGCAGUGCAAAGGGAACCUUCCCAACAAAGUAAGAGCCAAAGGCUAAGAUGGCAGUCUGUGGUUUGUAGAACCUUCUAGAAGACCACGAGACUUGGUAAGCUGAGCUUCUAAGUGGUCCAGGAUGCAGGGCUGGUGUCACAGGUGUGUGACCAGUAGAGCUACACAGGGCUUUGUGCCCAGAAGGGCCCCACGCUUGGGAAAUAAGGCUCUGCAGUCACUGUCUUCAAAUUCUUAAUAAUUUUAUCUUUGUCACUGUGUUUUGUAAGUGAAGUCCAAUGGGACAGUGGAAUGUGAACUGGGAGCAUGGAGCCUCCCAUCUCCCUGCGUCCAGGAUCUGCUUCUCAGCUGCUUGCUCCUCUGCCCCCACAGCUCCAGCUCCAGCUCCACUCACCUUCUACCUCCCUGCCUCCCACCCAGCAACCACUGCCAACCUGCCCCCAACCUGGGCACAGGCACACCCUGUGGGGGAGGGGGACAAGCACACCCCACAGCAUCUCAGAGUGGGGCAUGGUGGCAGCAGUCCCCAUCCUGCACUGGCAGCCCAGGGCACAUUUCAUGUGGGACUCUGCGGGGGUGAGCCUCUAGCCCCCCCCAGAUCCAGUACCUCGUGUGUCCUGGUACAAAAUUUGUAGUGCCCCGGGGGCUGCCCAUCUGCUAUGGGUUGGGGCAGGGGCCUGUGGGAGGAUGCCUGGCUCAACCUCCUGCCCUAGGCCUGGAGCACAACAUGUGGGCCCAGCAGCUCACAGGAAAGGGAGCCAGAAGAUGGGUUCAAGUGUUUGUGUGUUCCCCAAGUCACCAGGGUGCCUGUGGGGGUCUGCACUCCCCCAGGAGAACCCUCAUGUCUAGGGAGCACUCCAUGGGGUCAUCUCCAUGCCUGAGAGGACCCUCUCUUCCUUCUUUCAACCUUCCGGAGCCCAGCUUGUCUCUUCCGGCCAGGUCAAGGUAUCCUCCUGAGAGAACCGUGAAAUACAGUGUGCCGCUUUGAUAAUUCCACAUGCAUGUUCAAUAUUCGGAUAUUUCCAGUUAAAACUGGCAUUGCACAAUAUAAAAAGGAAUGGUAAAAGUCAUGCUAAUAAUUUAAAAUUUUGACUUUACUUAGAAUGGUAUUAACUAGCAAAUUUAAAACACCAUGACAAAUUGAAAGUGAGACUGGGGAAGAAAGCAAAAAGCAUGUUUUCUGACUGUUUGAACAAGGGGCCCCACAUUUUCGUUUUGUAGUGGGUCCUGAAAAUUAUGUAGCCAGUCCUGCCUGGUGAGCCACCUACCCUCUUGGGCAUUUAGUUGUCUAUCAGUAAACUAGAUCAUUAACACUGCGCCUGCCCCUCCUGCUCACGGGCACGUUAGGAACAUGCGCUUGGAUAAAAUCCAAGCCAGAGAUUUAGAAACCAGUGUGUGGUGCCAGCUCUCAGCCUUGGAACCACAAGCCCAUUUUUCUUAAAAAGGGAUCUGGACUGGCAUCCAAAGAGAUUUCAGUCCCCUCAUAUAGGUUUAACCACCAUGGGCAAGGCAGUCUCUCUCCCAGGUAUUCCUCUCACUAGGUGCUCUGCUCUAGAAAUGAAGUCUAAAAGCAGCCCCAUCAAUACAGAACAGAGUUAGAACCACCCGGAGAGAUUUAAUCUGGAAUCCCAGCAAGUUGUGAAAUGGAAAGACUAGUCGGCCAGAGAGCUGAGGUCUCACAGUGUGCAAAGACCAGUCCUCAGUAUCUGCACCCAUCCAUUUGAGUUUCAGGUGAAGCCUAGGAUUUGGGAGCUCAAUACAAAGAUGCCAGCAUGAAGGAGGGUGGGUGCCAACUAGGUUUGGAUUUAGAGACAUCCUCCUUUUGGGAAAGGAAAAUAUCCUGAUUCCACUUAGGUUUCCAGGAAGAAGGCAUCCCCAUUUCAGAACAGUUUUCUAAGCCACCCUCAUGGAGGUUUCACCUGCAGCUUUCAGUCUGCUUUGUCUGAUGUUUGAGGAUGCAACUGCCCAAAAAUGGGUCUAAAGUAGCAUCCCGUCACGUUCUGUAAAAAGUAAUACUGCUUUAAGGUAACACUUAUGGAAUGAAUGAAUGCAUGAAUGAAUGAGUCAGUUUGGAUGAAGUUGCCUCAAAUAGAGUCUAAAUAUAAGAUUUCAUACUCGAUAGUGUCAUUUCAGGAUCAGGAAAAAUUAGGUGACUCCCAUUUGGUUUCUACAGCUUUUCCCCAAUAUCAUGUUAAAGUUUUGGCUUUUAUCUUAUUUCACUUAUUUCAUUUUGAGUCAUGUCUUCUGGCUCCAGCUCAGCUUCCUAGAGAUAAUUCAUUAGGCCCGAGAGCUGCUCCAGAGUGGGAUUAGAACCCGUGUAGUACAUAGUCACAUUAAACUGAGAUCGGCUAAUUAAUCGCUCUUCUCCGUGUAACUGAGCGAUCGCGCUCCUUCCCCGAGGAAUUGCAAUUUCAUGGUUCCUAAUGAUGGUGCGAUUACAUUAUGUGGAUCACUUAGGCUGUGGGUGUCAGGAGCGGUACUUGGAGCCUCUCUCGGUGGGGAUGGGAGAAGUCACUUCUAAAACCGGGGAGAUGGAGGAAAGCAGUUAGAAUGUCUGUUACUAAUUUUUGUUAACGUGCUGCUGUUUCCUACAUCUCAUUCAGGCAUUAGUUUCAAGUUCCAUUUUCCCCCAGCACCGUGUGGCACCUUCCCCAGAACCCUCACAUUUUUUUUCUAAUAUUCACAGGGUUAUUGUUUGUAAAAAAUCUAUUUAUUUGCUUUAUUCCAUCAAGUAAUUUAUUUUCAUGAGAUUUCUUGGAAAUGUGGCUCUACAUAUCGUUAGUACAAGUAAUACAUUUUGAUUGUUGUUUCCUGGAAUAACUUGUAUUAUUUGAUGAGUUAAAUAAAAUGCCUAAUUCUAAA
rnacentral:lncRNA from 1 species